rnacentral:ribozyme from 1 species
AAUAAUAUUGCACUGGUAAGAGCAUGAAACCGAAUGUGACUUCUCGAAGGAUAUUACAGGUUCUCCAUACCCUACUCCCAAUCAAUACGUUCUCGUAGUACAGAAUAUUUAUCUUCAAAUAUCUGACCUUUUGGUGAUGGAUAAAAUGGCUCAAUUGAUAGAA